rnacentral:rRNA from 1 species
GAUGAACGCUAGCGGCAGGCUUAAUACAUGCAAGUCGUGGGGCAGCAGGACUGUAGCAAUACAGUUGCUGGCGACCGGCAAACGGGUGCGGAACACGUACGCAACUUACCCUGAACUGGGGGAUAGCCCGGGGAAACCCGGAUUAAUACCCCGUAAUAUAAUGGAGUGGCAUCACUUUAUUAUUAAAGCUCCGGCGGUUCGGGAUGGGCGUGCGGCUGAUUAGGUAGUUGGUUGAGGUAACGGCUCACCAAGCCUACGAUCAGUAACUGGUGUGAGAGCACGACCAGUACAAGGGGCAAUGGGACCCGGGCCCGACUCCUACGGGAGGCAGCAGUAAGGAAUAGUGGGCAAGGGAGGAAACUCUGACCCAGCCAUGCCGGGGGGAGGAUGAAGGCCCUUUGGGUUGUAAACUUUUUUUAUGGGGGACGAAACCUGUUUAUUCUUACGCAGUUGACGGUACCUAAGGAAAAAGCACCGGCUAACUCCGU